AACGAACGCUGGCGGCGUGGAUUAGGCAUGCAAGUCGAGCGAGAAAGUUGACUUCGGUCAGCGAGUACAGCGGCGAAUGGGUGAGUAACAGGUGGGUAACGUACCCUAGAAGUGGGGGAUAACUUCGAGAAAUCGAGGCUAAUCCCGCAUGUGGUGUCUCGAACAUAAGUAUGAGGCAUUAAAGGCUUGGUCUUCGGAUCAAGUCGCUUUAGGAGCGGCCCGUCCCCGAUUAGCUUGAUGGUGAGGUAACGGCUCACCAUGGCAACUAUCGGUAGCUGGUCUGAGAGGAUGGUCAGCCACACUGGGACUGAGAUACGGCCCAG
rnacentral:rRNA from 1 species